AGUGAACGCUGGCGGUAGGCCUAACACAUGCAAGUCGAACGGCAGCACAGUAAGAGCUUGCUCUUACGGGUGGCGAGUGGCGGACGGGUGAGGAAUACAUCGGAAUCUACUUUUUCGUGGGGGAUGACGUAGGGAAACUUACGCUAAUACCGCAUACGACCUACGGGUGAAAGCAGGGGAUCUUCGGACCUUGCGCGAUUGAAUGAGCCGAUGUCGGAUUAGCUAGUUGGCGGGGUAAAGGCCCACCAAGGCGACGAUCCGUAGCUGGUCUGAGAGGAUGAUCAGCCACACUGGAACUGAGACACGGUCCAGACUCCUACGGGAGGCAGCAGUGGGGAAUAUUGGACAAUAGGCGCAAGCCUGAUCCAGCCAUACCGCGUGGGUGAAGAAGGCCUUCGGGUUGUAAAGCCCUUUUGUUGGGAAAGAAAAGCAGCAGGUUAAUACCCCGCUGUUCUGACGGUACCCAAAGAAUAAGCACCGGCUAACUUCGUG
rnacentral:rRNA from 1 species